rnacentral:rRNA from 1 species
GAUGAACGCUGGCGGCGUGCCUAAUACAUGCAAGUCGAGCGAACAGACGAGGAGCUUGCUCCUCUGGCGUUAGCGGCGGACGGGUGAGUAACACGUGGAUAACCUACCUAUAAGACUGGGAUAACUUCGGGAAACCGGAGCUAAUACCGGAUAAUCUAUUGAACCGCAUGGUUCAAUAGUGAAAGACGGUUUUGCUGUCACUUAUAGAUGGAUCCGCGCCGCAUUAGCUGGUUGGUAAGGUAACGGCUUACCAAGGCAACGAUGCGUAGCCGACCUGAGAGGGUGAUCGGCCACACUGGAACUGAGACACGGUCCAGACUCCUACGGGAGGCAGCAGUAGGGAAUCUUCCGCAAUGGGCGAAAGCCUGACGGAGCAACGCCGCGUGAGUGAUGAAGGUCUUCGGAUCGUAAAACUCUGUUAUUAGGGAAGAACAAAUGUGUAAGUAACUAUGCACGUCUUGACGGUACCUAAUCAGAAAGCCACGGCUAACUACGUG